rnacentral:rRNA from 1 species
UGCUUCGGCGGACUCGCCCCAGCCCGGACGCGGACUGGACCAGCGGCCCGCCGGGGACCUCAAACUCUUGUAUUCCAGCAUCUUCUGAAUACGCCGCAAGGCAAAACAAAUGAAUCAAAACUUUCAACAACGGAUCUCUUGGCUCUGGCAUCGAUGAAGAACGCAGCGAAACGCGAUAAGUAAUGUGAAUUGCAGAAUCCAGUGAAUCAUCGAAUCUUUGAACGCACAUUGCGCCCGCCAGCAUUCUGGCGGGCAUGCCUGUUCGAGCGUCAUUUCAACCCUCGACCUCCCCUUGGGGAGGUCGGCGUUGGGGACCGGCAGCACACCGCCGGCCCUGAAAUGGAGUGGCGGCCCGUCCGCGGCGACCUCUGCGUAGUAAUACAGCUCGCACCGGAACCCCGACGCGGCCACGCCGUAAAACACCCAACUUCUGAACGUUGACCUCGAAUCAGGUAGGACUACCCGCUGAACUUAAGCAUACAU